GCCGGAGCCCAGCAAGGCCGCCCCAGCAAGCCUGCCUUGGCUUCUUGGUGUAUGUCAUUGCUGAUUCAUUUCGUUAAGUAGCACCUUGCUGCUCUGGGGGUGUCGGGGGGGGGAGGGACUUCUGCUGCUUUUCUGGUUUUUUUUUUUUAAUUUCUCACCGGAGAGCGAUUGGCUCCCGGUUGCACAAUCUGCUAAAAACCCACCUUUGAAAGGCUGCUCGCUGCGUCAUUUUUCCCUUUCGCUUUCGAGCCUCGGAGCCCCCUGCCCUCGGCAAAGUCUCCCUGUCCCGCGGCAAUCACCCAAGCUGAUGGGUUCCUAAACCCACUUUAUUAUCCAGUAGCAAUAAACCAAACAAAGGCAAUUCCCUUACGAAAACUGUGUUAAAGCUGAGAAAGGGGCUGGACCUGGAGGGAAACAGCAGCCUGGGUUGUGAACUGCAGUUACCUGGUGCACUAACAACGAACAUCCCCAGCUGUAUUUGGGCAGAGAUCUCCCAGCCUCCUGUGCCAGCGCAGGACCUGGCUAUUGGAUGUGAAGGAAAAUCUCCCCUGAGCCAUUAGCAGGGUGGGGUCUAUGACAUAGGCUCAGCUCAAUAUGCUUGAGUGAAGCAUU